CCGCGUGGCACUAACCAUCCCUAAAACUUCCUUUUUAAGGCUUCUUCUCCGUCAGCCCCUAAGCCAGACCUCUUUUUAUUUGACUCCGCUCGGGCAGCGGUGGGUGGGAGGCGGCUCGGGAAAAGGGAAGCCCGUCCCUUACAGUGGCGCCCCUAGGGAGACGUUCUGGGGGUCUCCGGGGGCACAAGGGCCGUGAGUCAUUUUGUUUGUUUAGCGAGGAAGAAGAUGGAGACGCGACGGUCCCCAACCACCCCACUGCAAAGCUCCUCUUCUGGCUCCCAGGAUGCACCCUGUUUGCCCCCAGUUUGUCGCACCAUCACCUGGAAUAACAGCUCUGUGGGACCACGUGGAACUGUGGGCCAUGCCAUUGUAACAACAGCACAGAGACGCCAUGGGCCAAUGAAAAGGGCGCCAUAUUUGAAGUCGGCAGAUGCGGCAGCCAUAGUCUGGCUCUAUUGAGAAGAUACAAAUGACAUGUGACCUGCUGAGUGAUACAAAAAUCUACAUAAUGACAGAGUUCUGCUUCCUAAGGCAAAAAACAGGUAAGACUUGGAUGCUACUAGGCAAGAGAAAAGGCAUUGGCAUAGAGGAAGGGCAGAACUUGUUUGGGGGAGGUGAGAUUAUUGUCGAAGUAAAUAGAAGACUUAGUCCACAUUUCCGAAGAGCCUAGAGAAACCUAUUUAACAAAGACGGCAAAGUGGUAACAUGGUGACAAAACGUCCGGGUGAGUGGUUCUGACAGUGGGGACUGGAAAAUGUGGGAGCCGCGAGGGAGAGGUGGUAUCAGCAAAGGAAGGCUUCUUGGGGGAGGUGGCCGGUGACCUAAGUCUUGAAGGACUGGCGGAGAGGAGAGGUCCUGGGAUUCCCAGCGUGGAGCGAACUGGGCGCAGCUCUCCGUCGCCGAGCGGCUUCGGCCACUCCCCGGCUCCCCUUUUUCUCCCCGCGCCACCUCGGCCCGCAAGCCCGGCUCGGCUUCCUAGCACUGACGUCAGCGGGCGAUGACCUCAGCGCCGAGGAGGCGGCGGGG